rnacentral:misc_RNA from 1 species
AAUUCUCAACUUCAUAAGUUUUCUUAUUGAAGCUUGGAUAUUGGGGGUUGUGCAGAAAAGCUUUCACAGCGUUACUGCUCCCCUUAAAUAAAUUAGCGAGUUCAAACUAGGCUCCGUCUAUUGGUGUGAUAAUUAUCUACGCCGUGGAUUGGGCUUAGACUUGCUUCUAACCGUCUGCAAGGACAACUUUUGACA